UAAGACGAACCGUGCGAACGUUAUUCGGAAUCACUGGGCUUAAAGCGCGUGUAGGCGGGCCGCCCCGUCGGAUGCUGAAAGCCCCCGGCUCAACCGGGGAACGGGCACCGAUACGAGCGGCCUGGAGGGGGGUAGGGGGAGCCGGAACUCACGGUGGAGCGGUGAAAUGCGUUGAGAUCGUGAGGAACGCCCGUGGCGAAAGCGGGCUCCUGGACCCCGCCUGACGCUGAGACGCGAAAGCCAGGGGAGCGAACGGGAUUAGAUACCCCGGUAGUCCUGGCCGUAAACACUGGGCACUGGGUAGGGGACUCGCCGAUGGGUUCCCUGCCGCAGCGAAAGCGUGAAGUGCCCCGCCUGGGGAGUAUGGUCGCAAGGCUG
rnacentral:rRNA from 1 species